rnacentral:rRNA from 1 species
AGCGAACGCUGGCGGCAGGCCUAACACAUGCAAGUCGAACGGACCCUUCGGGGUUAGUGGCGGACGGGUGAGUAACACGUGGGAACGUGCCUUUAGGUUCGGAAUAGCUCCUGGGAACGGGUGGUAAUGCCGAAUGUGCCCUUCGGGGGAAAGAUUUAUCGCCUUUAGAGCGGCCCGCGUCUGAUUAGCUAGUUGGUGAGGUAAAGGCUCACCAAGGCGACGAUCAGUAGCUGGUCUGAGAGGAUGACCAGCCACAUUGGGACUGAGACACGGCCCAAACUCCUACGGGAGGCAGCAGUGGGGAAUCUUGCGCAAUGGGCGAAAGCUUGACGCAGCCAUGCCGCGUGAAUGAUGAAGGUCUUAGGAUUGUAAAAUUCUUUCACCGGGGACGAUAAUGACGGUACCCGGAGAAGAAGCCCCGGCUAACUUCGUGCCAGCCGCCGCCGUAAUAC